AUACGUAGGGUGCGAGCGUUGUCCGGACUUACUGGGCGUAAAGAGCUCGUAGGUGGUUUGUCGCGUCGUCUGUGAAAUUCAGGGGCUUAACUCCGGGCGUGCAGGCGAUACGGGCAUAACUUGAGUACUGUAGGGGAGACUGGAGUUCCUGGUGUAGCGGUGAAUUGCGCAGAUAUCAGGAGGAACACCGGUGGCGAAGGGGGUUCUCUGGGCAGUAACUGACGCUGAGGAGCGAAAGCAUGGGUAGCGAACAGGAUUAGAUACCCUGUUAGUCCAUGCCGUAAACGGUGGGCGCUAGGUGUAGGGGUCUUCCACGACUUCUGUGCCGUAGCUAACGCAUUAAGCGCCCCGCCUGGGGAGUACGGCCGCAAGGCUAAAACUCAAAUGAAUUGACGGGG
rnacentral:rRNA from 1 species